CGAACAGUCUCAGUUCGGAUUGAGGGCGUGAAAUUCGCCUUCCAUGAAGCCGGAAUUGCUAGUAAUGGCAGGUCAGCAUACUGCCGUGAAUACGUUCCCGGGCCUUGUACACACCGCCCGUCACACCAUGAGAGUUGGGAAUACCCGAAGCCUGUGAGCUAACUUUUAGAGGCAGCAGUCGAAGGUAGAAUCAAUGAUUGGGGUGAAGUCGUAACAAGGUAUC
rnacentral:rRNA from 1 species